rnacentral:rRNA from 1 species
UACGUAGGGGGCAAGCGUUGUCCGGAAUCAUUGGGCGUAAAGAGCGUGUAGGCGGUUCGGUAAGUCCGCUGUAAAAGUCCAGGGCUCAACCCUGGAAAGCCGGUGGAAACUGUCGAACUAGAGUCCGGAAGAGGCGAGUGGAAUUCCUGGUGUAGCGGUGAAAUGCGCAGAUAUCAGGAGGAACACCGGUGGCGAAGGCGGUCUCUGGGCCUUACCUGACGCUGAGGAGCGAAAGCGUGGGGAGCGAACAGG